AGAAUCAACGCUGGCGGCGUGCCUAACACAUGCAAGUCGCACGAGAAAGGGGAGCAAUCCAUGAGUACAGUGGCGCACGGGUGAGUAACACGUGACUAACCUACCCUUGAGUGGGGAAUAACCUGGAGAAAUCUAGGCUAAUACCGCAUAACACCUACGGGUCAAAGGAGCAAUUCGCUUAAGGAGGGGGUCGCGGCAGAUUAGCUAGUUGGCGGGGUAAUGGCCCACCAAGGCAGUGAUCUGUA
rnacentral:rRNA from 1 species